UAGGGAAUCUUCCACAAUGGACGCAAGUCUGAUGGAGCAACGCCGCGUGAGUGAAGAAGGGUUUCGGCUCGUAAAGCUCUGUUGUUAAAGAAGAAUGUGGGUAAGAGUAACUGUUUACCCAGUGACGGUAUUUAACCAGAAAGCCACGGCUAACUACGUGCUAG
rnacentral:rRNA from 1 species